rnacentral:lncRNA from 1 species
GCACACUCCGCCCACUAGAAAUCUGAAAUCUGUCCUCGAUAUAACCUCACAGCUGCUGCUGAAUGUUUUGCAAUGAUAAUGGCCAUUAAAUAUGGGAAACUAUGAAAUUAAAUUUAUUAUGAAAGAUACAAUUUUGCUUGGAGCCAAACAUAUGGGAUUGGUGCAAAGCCACAAAGAAUGUUCAGUGGAGAAGCUGUGGUUAUAUAAUAGCUCUUUACGCUAAUACCUGUUGCAUUGCACAAUAAACCAUGCAUGGAGUUUUGUUUCCAGGGAAGUUUAUAUGUGAAAGGGAACCUCAAUUCUUCUUCUUAUUUCAUUAGAACCAUUAAUUAAGUUGGCUGGUGAGGUACUGAUUUCAUUGGUUGGGCACAAAAAGACACAAUAUUUAUAGGCAAGCAUGAAAUGCAGUCUCGCCACACUUUGUGUCUCUUGAGGUAGCGUUAAGGUGAGUUAUAUUGUGCAUAUAUUAAGCAAUUGAAUAGAGUUCUAUGAACUUAAUAUUCACCAUAUAAUAAAUAGGAAGCACUUUUUGUGUCUUUAAGCAGGUUAGUUUGUUUUUAAUUCAUGCUGUGAUCAUGAGGACAGCAUUCCUCCUCUUGGUGUUGGCAGCCUAUAGCUUCAGUGUCCCCCUGAAGAAAGCUGCAGAGACUGACGAGGAGUAUCUGAAUGUUGGCAGUUUGAGAUACCUCCGCCAGCCUCUGGCUCAGCAAGCCACUGACGAGCUUUUAACGUACGCCUACCCGUCCCCCCGCCUGGAGUACUACAACUUAUAUGACUUCACCUCCCUCGGCACCGUUCCCAUCAACAAUCCAAUCCUUAACCCGUUCUAUAACCCAUACGACCCUCAGGUAUACACAAACUACCCCCAAAACUAUCCCCUGUUUAACCAGGGGCAAGCUAGUCCUCUGAUCAUCACCUUGAGAAACCUGCCUUGAUCAAUUCAUCUGUCAGACCUCUGAUUCUUCUCUUCACUGCUGAAACUGAGACUAAGUUCAAUCAUGUUAAUAUGAGCUAAAGGCUAAAGCUGUUGCCAUGUGGGUCAGCCAGACGUCUUCCUGUAACAGUUUUCUCCAGUUUACAAGAGUCUUUUAAAAGGUGUAGGAAACAGUACUCUCCGCUCUCUAAAAAUGAUUACAUUUGUCAUAAUAACAUGAUUAUAAUGGUGAUAAAGAAAUUUCCCAUGUCACUGGCUUCAUCUGUAAUUUCUUUUCUAAAGAAAAGAUUUAUAGUUUUAAGAGUUAUCUGUGUUUCUGUGUCUAAGUCUUUAUAACAGACAGGCUUUGGAAAUUCUAUAUAUAUAUUUUUUCAUUUAUUUCCAAAGAUCAGUUUAUUUCCAUUGUUAGUGACCAGCUGUAAGGUGUGAACCAAUUACCUUUUUCUUUUUUCACAAUAUACAAAUGUUUUCAUGUUUUUUUUUUGUAAAAUAUUAAUUUUUCUCUCAUUUUUUGUUCAUUUUUUCCCUUCAAGCCCUGGCACUAACUUUUGUUUUAUUUAAAUUUACUGGAUUUUGUACAAUUUCAGGUUAAUCAUUAAACCUGAAGAGGUUAAUGAUUAAAUGGCAAAAAAUAUUUUAAUGCUUUCCUUUCAUAAUGCAUUCAAAAUGCUUUAACUUCUGCUAACGUGUAGAUGUGUAAAAUUAUUUUAAUACUUUUAAUACUUGUAAUGACCCACCCAGAGGUGUUGCUGUCUGGGAUCAUACAUGCGAAAGGAUUAAAAGUGACUAUAUGUUAAAAUGUUAUACCUGUUAAUAAUUUCUUUGUGAAUAAAAUAUAUUUCACUAUCA